rnacentral:lncRNA from 1 species
UAUAAAUUGUGUCGGUGAAGUGCAACCCAAAUGGACCAUGCCGGGUCGGGUCAAGUACAUACCAAAUAUAGUUAUGGACUUAGACAUUAAUCCAACAGUCUCCCACUUGGAUAAGUCUAAAACUAUUAUUGCGUAUGACUUCAAACCUAACUGGCAAUCGUAGCUCUUAAAUCCGCCGUUGAACUCUGAUCUUGUCAACGAACUUGUCCAUUAGAUAAGAGAUCAUAUAUUCCUCCAUUCCAGAUAUCAUAUGGACUGAGACAUGGAUUAUAAUCAUUCUCUCUGUCCAUUUGUUGUUUCCUGAUUUCCGAUUUAUGACGACUGACUAAUUGAACAAAUCAAAUCAGUCCUGGCCCGGCCGAGCACUUCCAUUUGUCAUCAUCAAAUCAUCGAGGGGCCCACAGAUAUCGCUUUUAUCCCGAAGGUAAAAGGAAUGGAUAAACUUCGACUCAUAUGGCUUGUUCUACUACUUGUUGAAUCAUACACAAAGGCACGUUUUAUAGCACCGAGUUACCAAAUGCGUUUUCGUGCAAUCAAUGUACAACCAACUCAUAGUAACAACUCAUAUCUCUAGGUUUGAAGAAUAUAAGAUAUUAUCGUCUCAUGAUCACUCGUGAUAAAAUCCAUGAAGUGAUUCCAAUGAGCGCGGGUUGAAUCCAAUACUCAGAACUUAUGAGCACUCAUGAGUGUUGUAGCCCUUUGUCCAACACCUUAGACCUCUACAAGCCAACCCAUGACAGUCUUAAUUCAUAUCUACUUCCAACAUAUGACCGACUGUGGAUGGUUUGAAUAACUUAGUCAUUCCGGAAGAAUAACCUAGUUUAUUCUGGAAGUCAAAACAUGAAAAAUGAAACACAAGAAUAACUGAAUCUAGUAUGGUAUCAAAAACUAUGAAUAUAAAUAAAACACAUUUUAUUUAUCACCAUACUGAUUACUCAUUAUUCAUGGUUUCAGUUUUAUCAACUUUAUACUUGAAUUAAAAACACUAGUUGUCCCAUGCUCCAAGCAUGUACACUAUGUUUUUCUAAACAAUAGCUUUGUCAUGCACUACGUAUGCACUCUAUGUUUGUCUAUGAUCUUUACUUUGUGAACUAGAUCAAUUGAACAUAACUUCAAUGAUUCUCUUUUCACACUCCCAAAUCCUUACUGCAAAUGCAAGAAUUCCAAAUUCAUGCCAUUUACUGAAAUCUGUUAGAUUCUAAACUUAUAUGCAUUGAUCCUCUUGUAAUGAUUAUGCACAAAGUCACAAAGACUUGACAACAAACAUUACAGAGCAUUCCAAAGGAGAUCAACUCCUUGGAAACAUCCUUCUUGCAUUAAGUUUCCUAAUCUUAAACAGAUUGAAAAUUCUAACUUUGAAACAUUUCCAGAUUCCAUUUUGACUAUCACUUCUGAACAAGAGUUGCCUCCUUACAGAUUAUGUCAAUAUGGUCCUUCCAGAAUUAAUACUAUACUUCCAACUGUCCUUUAGCAACCAAUCUUUGGUAAACCCUAGAUUGUCCUCAACAAUUGCUUAAUCAUUUUAGUCAUAUCCAAUUCUAGACCUUUUCCCUUCUUAAUGCCCCAGGCAUUUGGAAAAUUUUAGAAAGGAUGAAUAUAGCACAUGUAAUCGAUCCUAUAUCCGAAGCAUAUGGGACACGAUUCAUGAUGUCUUACAUAAAGACUAAACCAGUCUUUUGCUAUAAUAUUUCCAUUUCAAUUUGCCAAGUUCUCAUAAUUCAGAUUAUGAAAAGGGAUGCCGUAAUCAUAAUCGAAUUUUAGAACGCAAAUAAUGGACCCAUAUACAGAAUUUCCUUAUGUUGAGCCAUUCCAACAUGAAAUUCAUAUAUAUCCUUGACUAAAUGAUUAAAACCUCACGAUCUAAGCUUAUAGAUUUGAGAUGAAGCAUAAUUUCCUCUCCCUUAAUUAUAGCAAAACAACUUUUUCCCAAUUGAAACUUUUGUUUUCUAUAAUUAACAUUGCUAACUUGCAAUACUUAUCAUAAUUAUCAUGCUCCCACUAACAUGAUGAUUAUUAGCAUAACACUUAUGCUCCCACUAGCUUUGACAUGUACUCAGAAAUCAGCUGGACAGUCUGAAAUUUAGAUUCAUACACCCUUUCCGUAGAUAGCUCACCUGUGUGUCUAAGCAAUUUCAAGAACCAUGAAAAGGGAUACCGUAAUCAUGGUCUCAAUUGCUUAGGCAUUUGCCAUUUCUCACAAGUCCAUGUUAGUGUGCCGGUUAACCACACGCGCUCCACUAACGACUUUUGAAAAUGCAAAUAACACAAUUGAUAUCUUCGUAAAAUCUACUUAGUGAAAGCGUUUCCUCACCAUCAUUUUCAUGAAUCGGAGAGAAACCUUAUGACACUUAGAUUUAUAUGGUGUAUGAGUUCCUACCCAUAUGAAUUUGUCAAACCAUAAUCACAAGACAAAGAUAAUGACAAAUCCAAAACCAUAUGGAUUGAACUCAAUCUUAACUUCUUGCCACCUGGCAGCUCAAGGGCCUGCCAUUGCUUCCAAGUUGUUGUGCAACAAAUUGAGAACUCUAAGAACUCAUAUGCAAAACCAACUUUAACUGGAAUGGGCACAGAAUAUGUCAACACGAUAGGUUAUGAACCUCAAGUCGUGUGCUAGUGAAGAACUUUAGGUUUUAUUCUUGAUUAUUUCUUGAGACUUUCAAGACCUUUAAGACUCCCACUGUCCUCUUGACAUAUAAGACUCCCUUGUCAAACAUCCAAGAGAUAGUGCGGAUUCUAAUCAAGAAAAACACUUUACCCAAUUGGCCUAAGUUGGUCUUUGUUUUAUCCAAAACAUCACAACUUACCAAUUUCAAAUGUACAAGAGUAGAAAACUUUUACUCUUACAUUUGACAAGUGUUUUAAACCUUCUUUAAGACAUGUCACUCAAAUGACAAUCUUGGAGUAUGACUCUAAGACUUGUAUUGGAACGAAGUAUGACUCAUCUUCUUGAUUUAACCAUUUCAACAAUUCAAGUUCCUCUUCUUAGUCAUAAGAAUGCACUAAGAUUUCCUUAGAGAACUAAUUUUGAUAUGGUUUCUUAAUCAUUAAGAUGAUCACAAAACUGAUACUAAAGUACUCUCCCAUCUUUUCAGAUUUGAGAAACUUUUAUCCUUCUGCCUUAUUUGAUUCUUCUUAUCGAUCUUUAGUGGUGGACUUAAUCAGUGCACAAGAAUGUGUACUCGAUCCCUAAGUCCUUUACUUGACUCACACAUCCAUGUGAACAAGUAAUUAGUCUUAAUUUUCCAAAACUUGAAAGUUCUCAUUCAUCAUGCUAUACAACUUGCAUGAUUCCAAGUUCCGGUCCAAUUGAAACUUGGGUGAUGAGAAUCUUUCCUUAUUUGGUAAAUUUAGACAUUACCACAAAUGAAAGAAUCAAUUUCAUACUUCCACUCUUGCUACUAAUGGAAUCUUAUAAGCAACAAAAAUUUCCACAGAUGCCAUUGUAAGGAUAUUUUAAAAUAAAUAAAAUCAAAAAUUUCCUUUUAUUUUAAAACUUUGCGGAAAAACUAUCCUUACAAUCCAUAUGAAAACUUGUUGUUAUCUAUUCCUAAGCAAUAUCUCAUAACUCCUAAGAAGUAGCUCAAGAAUCCGAUUUUUCAAACUAUGCGAUAGAAAUCCAUCUAUGCGAUCAGAUUCAGCAUAUUCUUCCUUUAAGUUUCUUCACUUUCCUUUGAUUCUUAAACCAUCACCAUGCGACCCGGUCACAUCAUGUAUCAAGAAUCUCAGAAUAGAAACUUAACAGAGUUAGAUAGUGGAUUUUACCUGAAGUAGAGUCAAACUUAUUGACUUUAACAUCCUUAGGUAAAUUUGGCAGCUUCGCAACCAAUGCCCUUUCUUUGGCAAUACAAACAUAUGGACCCUUUGAUAAUGGUACACAGGACUAUCACAGACUUAGCUUUUCUCUUUACCAUUUGGUCAACCGAGUUGACUAUAGCCGAUCCCUUUCCAUUGGGAAGAGAAUGCUUUACUGGAUAUCCAAUGUCAUCAUUGUCAAUGUCCAUAAAGUUUUAGGAAGUUGAUCUUAGCAAAUAGAUAAGAUCAUUAAGGGUCUUGUCAUAGUCUGUUUCAUAGGUGUCCCAAAGGAACUCACUAUGUGACUUAGAAAGUGGUUGAACCACCAACUUUCUCAAGACUUUGACACCCAACUCUCCCGGCUUGUCAAUAUGUGACUACAUCUCCAAGAUGUGACCACACCUAGACCUUGCCUUGCCAAUAGGGCCUGAGUGACCUUAAACUUUUCAAGAACUUGUGGGUUAGGGAGAAUAAUUUGAAGAGGUGAAGAAGUAUGAUAUCCAUGGGACAUCAUCUUCAUUAGGAAACCUUGUUUCAAGAGAUUUGGGAAGAUCAUAGGUGUCUAAACCAGACAUCUUUUGGGAGAUAUUCAAGAUAGUUGAUUUAAAGUCCUUAAUAUGACACCCAAUAUGAAAUAUUAAGGCUAGGACCCAACAAACUAUUUUAUAACUUAGAAGAGGUAUGCCGUAAUCCAAGCUAUAAAAUAUUUGAAGGUAGGUGAAUGACGAUUCACCAAUUUCCACCAAGAUAAACGAAAUGUAUUAUUAGGUUUUAAUUGGUUUUGAAACUCCUAGAUCUUUGAGAUUCAUUGAACUUUUCAAAGGCAUGUUUCAAUCUCGAGUGUGCCCUUCAGGUUUUGUGACUGGGAUGCCGAGGAUCACAAAACAAGGUGUGAAGUAACCAUGCAAAUCACUUGGUACCCUUAAUAAAUUACCCCUCAAUCGAUGUGCCGGUUAACCACACACGCUCCAUCGAUACUAUGAUAAAUAUUAAGUCACCCUUUACCUACCUUGUUAAGUCCAAGUUAGUGUGCCGGUUAACCACACACGCUCCACUAACGACUUAGACAAAGUGUAAAGUGUAAUUUCAUGGAUUAGCACCUUAUUCACAUUUUUCCUAAGUAACUAAGAUUGGGUAUUAUUAAGAGUUUAGUUACUUAGUAUUAUCAUUAAUACUUUUAAUGAAGGGAGAAUUCUAGUCCUGUCAAACCCGUUCGGCUAACGACCCUCCACCAGUCAAGCAAGCGGUGGGUGAGAGUGGACACCCAUUAAGUUGCCAUUUUAUAGGCAACAACCUUAUACCCACCUUAUAGACCGGCUUCGUGAAUGAGGCGUACUAGCGGUAAGACUGACUUUACUCUUAUACAUAUAUAUAUUAUUAACUUAUAAUAUUAUAAAGUAUAAGGGUUGAAUUUUAACUUUUAAAAUUCUAAGGGCUAACUUGGAAUUAAAGUAUUCAUAAGUGAAAACUUUACAAAUUCCAAAACUUGAGGGCAAGUUUUGAAACUAUUCAAAACUAAUUAAUUCCAUAACUUAUGUGUUUAAAGUAGUUUUAAUCCAAAAACUCUUCAAGUUCCAUAACUUGAGGACAAGUUAUGGAAGACUUUAAACUAAUAAAAGAAUUAACUUUUCUUUAUUUUAUAACUUAUGGAAUUAAUUAAGGUUACACCUUUUUUUAUUUUAUUUUAUUUUAUUAAAUGAAGAGACUCUUGGUCCUCCAUAACUUGAGGACAAGUUAUGGAGUCAUAAAACCAUUUAAUUAGAACUAGACUCUUCAUUUUUGUAACCUUUGCCAAUUUUUAUGAGUUUUAUGAUUCUUAAAUGUGACUUUUCAUAUAACUUGAGGACAAGUUACAAAAACACAUUUUAGAAUCAAUUCUUAGAUUAAUUUGGAUUAAAACCAACUAUCACAUAAUUUUAUUCAUUAAUCUAAAUUCACUCAUAAAACAAGGUAACACAAAAAACUUUUGGUGAUCCAUAACUUAUUCUUAAGUUAUGGAAUCCUUUAAAACAUUAACACCAAAUUUUGUAACUCCAAAAAAACUUUGAAUCAAUUUUUUUUUUAAAACCUUUUCAUAUCCAUAACUUAUGGAGGUUUCAAAAAAUAAAACUCUUUAGAUCAAACUUUUAAAACUAAUAAAAUAAUCAUAUUAUUUUAUCUUUUAUUAAAUUUGACCUAAUUCAACUCAUAAAGCAAAUUAUUCAAAUUUUACAAAUAAUUAGUUUUUCACAAGAACAAGUAAUUAUCUUAAAAUUUGACGAACUUCAUGUUUUUUUUUUUUUUUUUUUUCAACUUUGAAAAUAAAAUAUUUGCAUCAAUAUAACAGAAAACAACCCGUGGCUCUGAUACCACUGUUGGGUUUUGAGCAUUCUAACACUUCCUAAGUGUACAUGCAACCCUAAAUACCUUGGAUCUAUGUUUUCUCUAUUAUACAUGCAAAUAAGAACAUCCAAGGUAUUAUCCUAAUCUAGCAUACAAAAACUAUGAAUGUAACAAGAUAGAAUACAUACCUCUUGAUGUAGCUUGAUGUCUUCAAGCUUUAAGAGCUUAGCCCCAAUAGUGUGGAAGCCUCAAGUGGAAUCACAAAUCACCAAGACACCUUGGAAUACUUUAGAGAAUAUGAUUACUUGGUUCUCUCUAGUGAAAUUGGCUAGCCCUUCUUUAGUGUAUCCACACUAGUGCCAAUUUCACCAACCAAAGACAUCUUUAUAUAGUAUGGAGGAUUAGGGUUAAACCCUAAUACCCAUGACCUUUCAUUUCCUAGGAUCCAUGGGUUAAACACUCCAUGGACUAUCCAUGAAAGCUUAGCCCAACCUAAAUGAACUUGGCCCAUUCCAUAUAUAUAAGAGUCCAUAUUUAAUUAGUUCCUUUUGAUCACUUAAUUAAUUAUAAAUUAAUUCUUGAUCAAUACUAAUUAAAUAAUAUGAUUCCAUAUUAAUAUAUUAGAACUUAUAAUAUAUUAAUAUUAAUCAUAAACAUACUAUUCUCAAAAGAUUAUCCAUAUAAAUUGUGUCGGUGAAGUGCAACCCAAAUGGACCAUGCCGGGUCGGGUCAAGUACAUACCAAAUAUAGUUAUGGACUUAGACAUUAAUCCAACAGUCUCCCACUUGGAUAAGUCUAAAACUAUUAUUGCGUAUGACUUCAAACCUAACUGGCAAUCGUAGCUCUUAAAGCCGCUGUCGAACUCUGAUCUUGUCAACGAACUUGUCCAUUAGAUAAGGGAUCAUAUAUUCCUCCAUUCUAGAUAUCAUAUGGACUGAGACAUGGAUUAUAAUCAUUCUCUCUGUCCAUUUGUUGUUUCCUGAUUUCCGAUUCAUGAUGACUGACUGAUUGAACAAAUCAAAUCAGUCCUGGCUUGGCCAAGCACUCACAUGUGUCAUCAUUAAAUCAUCGAGGGGCCCACAUAUAUCGCUUUUAUCCCGAAGGUAAAAGGAAUGGAUAAACUUCGACUCAUAUGGCUUGUUCUACUACUUGUUGAAUCAUACACAAAGGCACGUUUUAUAACACCGAGUUACCGAAUGCGUUUUCGUGCAAUCAAUGUACAACCAACUCAUAGUAACAACUCAUAUCUCUAGGUUUGAAGAAUAUAAGAUAUUAUCGUCUCAUGAUCACUCGUGAUAAAAUCCAUGAAGUGAUUCCAAUGAGCGCGGGUUGAAUCCAAUACUCAGAACUUAUGAGCACUCAUGAGUGUUGUAGCCCUUUGUCCAACAUCUUAGACCUCUACAAGCCAACCCAUGACAAUCUUAAUUCAUAUCUACUUCCAACAUACUGUGGAUGGUUGAAUAACUUAGUCAUUCCAGAAGAAUAACCUAGUUUAUUCUGGAAGUCAAAACAUGCAAAGUGAAACACAAGAAUAAAUGAAUAAAAUAUGGUAUCAAACCCUAUGAAUAUAAAUAAACACUUUUAUUUAUCACCAUACUGACUACUCAUUAUUCAUUGUUUCGGUUUUAUCAACUUUAUACUUGAAUUAAAAACACUAGUUGUCCCAUGCUCCAAGCAUGUACACUAUGUUUUUCUUAAACAAUAUCUUUGCCAUACACCAAGUAUGCACUCUAUGUUU